rnacentral:rRNA from 1 species
CGUAGUCCGGAUUGGAGUCUGCAACUCGACUCCAUGAAGUCGGAAUCGCUAGUAAUCGUGAAUCAGAAUGUCACGGUGAAUACGUUCCCGGGCCUUGUACACACCGCCCGUCACACCAUGGGAGUGGGCUGCAAAAGAAGUGGGUAGUUUAACCUUUCGGGGAGGACGCUCACCACUUUGUGGUUCAUGACUGGGGUGAAGUCGUAACAAGGUAGCCCUCGUAGUCCGGAUUGGAGUCUGCAACUCGACUCCAUGAAGUCGGAAUCGCUAGUAAUCGUGAAUCAGAAUGUCACGGUGAAUACGUUCCCGGGCCUUGUACACACCGCCCGUCACACCAUGGGAGUGGGCUGCAAAAGAAGUGGGUAGUUUAACCUUUCGGGGAGGACGCUCACCACUUUGUGGUUCAUGACUGGGGUGAAGUCGUAACAAGGUAGCCCUAGGGGAACCUGGGGCUGGAUCACCUCCUUAUACGAAGAUACC